GGUGGGGUUCCCGAGCGGCCAAAGGGAGCAGACUGUAAAUCUGCCGUCAUCGACUUCGAAGGUUCGAUUCGAGCGCAGCGAGAAAGCGUUGCCGCAGGCAACGACCCGAAGGGUGAAGCGCGCAGCGCUGAGUAAUCCUUCCCCCACCACCA
rnacentral:tRNA from 5 species